CAAAAUCAGCAUUUGAAGCUUAAAAUAUAGCCCAAAUCUAGUAUUGUGUAGUUUGUUUUAAAUCUCAUCAGACCCUGUGUUGUAGAGGCUCUGAGGUUAUAACUGAAUAACUAUCUGCGUCAUCAUAUCGCAGACUUGCAGUUCUUCACUCGCCUUUAGAGAAAAGAAUAUUAAAAGAGGGUUUUUCCGAGGUUUAAUCAUCCAAGUGGAAACACUGCAACUAUCUGCUCAGGAGGACAACAUAUACAUCCGGCUCUGACGUGGAUAGAGAUCACAAUCAGGAGAAAGGGGAUCUUACCAGCACAUACUUAGAAUACCUUUCACUAUCUUUUUUCUUUCAAUCUUUCAGCUAUAGAGGACUAAAGAGGAGGUCUGGGGGAGGGUUAAAGAAGAGAGGAGGAGCAGACAGGAACAAAAAAGGAGACAGUGAAGCAGAGAGAGAGACAGAGAGAAGAGGACCAGUGAGAGUGAUACACAUGAUCAGAGACUGCUGUUUAAAGAUGGAUUUAGGUUUGCUUCAAGCACUGGAGAGAGAAAGAGUCCUGGAGGUUCUUCAGAGAGACAAACAGCUGCGUACCAUUGAAGAGGACAGGAUAAGGAGGAUGAAGUAUGAGCUGCAGGAACUUCGAAGGAGAGGUGCAAAAAGUUUUGCCCGGCAGUAUGGCGAGCGGACCUGUGCCCGCUGUCAGAGGCCGCUGGGAAAGUUUUGGAACUCGGGCGCAGUCUGCCACAGCUGCAGCCACCGCAUCUGCAGCAAGUGCCGCGUGGGCGUGGGAGCGGCGGGCUGGAAGUGCACGGUCUGCCACGCCUACAGGGAGGUGAAGUUCAAGUCUGGAGACUGGUUCUUAGAGGAGAGGGCAAAGAAAUUUCCAGUCACUAUAGACAAAUAUGAAAUGGUUGGGGAGAGAUUAUUAAAGACCUACCAUGUGCUGAGUCAUAUAUCAGUUGUGCCUCCCACUCCUCCACCCCACUUGGAUUAUCAGUUUCUGAGCAGAUCCGGGGAUUUGAAGAACUCAAAACCUUUUACCAAAUCUAUGGAGGAUCUAAUGGUGUCCUUCACAAGUCAUAUUAAAAAGAUUUCCACUUCUCAGAAUGAUGUGCGAGGAGACCUGCUGAGAGUCAACAACAGUCGGAGAGGGUCGUGCUACAGCACCCAGAAGAGUCUCUCUGAAACAGACAUCAACAAAUCUAGCAAUCUCUUUAAAGGCCCCAGUCUUCCAAACCUGUUCAAGAAAAGCAAAGACAGCGACCAGGAAGGCUCUUCUACUGGGGCGGAAGAAGAAACAUCGUGCGGUUCUGAGUACUCUGGAGGAAAGAGAGGCAGCAGCAGUAGCAGCAUCAGCACAGACUGCGGCCCCUUCGAGAGCAUCAGCAUAGCAGGAGAGCUGGAGCUGGCUCUGGCCUACAACACCAACACUUCCUGUCUGGAGAUCACAGUCGGCGCCUGCAGAAAUCUCAACUACGGAGACACCAAGAGAAAGAAAUGUCACCCAUGCGUCAAACUCUACAUGCUGCCAGGAAAAAGCGGCAAAAUGAAGACGACAGUCAAGAAAAACACGACUGAUCCGGUUUAUAAUGAAGUUUUAAAGUAUCACGUGGAGCGCCACCUGCUGUUUGGAAAGAGACUGCAGGCCACUGUGUGGCAUUCAGGAACCCUAAAAAGGAAGGUGUUUCUCGGUGAGGUCCUUGUCCCGCUGGACGGCUGGAGAUUUGAGGACAAGGACUCCCAGCGCUUCAACUGGUACCCACUUUGUCAGAAGGCUGAGAGUCCAGAGGGCGGCGCUGUGGAGCAGGACGGAGGAGAACUGCUGGUUAGAGUCAAGCUCAGCUCCAACAACCAGGGUGUCUGACUCUGGGAGUAGGCAGAGAGCUCAUCCAGACAACGCCCAUUUCUAAAGGGUGAGACCGAGCUGAGGACGGCUAAGCUGAGAAGCUGUGGCCCCUCCUGCCCCUCUGAGGGACCCCCAAGGAGGGGCUCAAAUAGACCCUGGGUCACCAUGGCAACCGGUGUUGGAUGCCCCAACAGGUGGAGUGACGUCAGCUUCACUGUUUGUCGCCCAACGUCAGGAGAACAUGACAGCAUUCAGCGCCUCUUCCCAACAACAGACUCAGCACUUUAACAUGUUUAUAGUGCAGUAUUUAUAUUGUAAAUUGUAAAUAAAAUAGUCAGCAUUCAUUCAGUUAACAUCAUGCACAUACGUUUGUAAAGAAAUGUUAUUUAUCUGUCAAACUAAAUCAUUUUACAAUUAAAAGUAAUUAAAGCGGCUAUAUGUAA